GUACGCCUCUUAAGCUCGAUUUAUAGUAAUUGUAUUCUUGUAGACGUAUUUCAGCUUGCUUCAGGAUGACUCGCGUUCUAGUCGCUGGGGAUUCGAUGCUGAGAGACCAUGCAGGGUCUUUCACAUUGACUCCGUCAGUUAGCGUUGAGGUGCGCUCAUUCAGUGGUGUGCGUAUCCAAAGUAUAUUCCCUAUGAUUUCCUCUACCCUGCCAUCCGUGCAAGUGCUCGUUCUCCACGUUGGAACAAACAACGUUGGCGAAGAGGCGCUGACCCGGAUCGCCAGGUUCCGCUCUCUUGUGCGACGGGUAAUCGAAGUCAACCCGGGCAUCCGCAUUGUAAUUUCCGCAAUCCUACCCAGGCAGGCGCUGUGCCUCAAGGAGAGCUACGCUUUUCUGGACGGCACUCGCAAGGCAUGGAACGACCUGGUGACUGCUGAUGGCGUUCACUUGAGCCAGCGCGGCAGCAAUCUGCUGGGAUGCCUCUUGCGUGAAGCCAUUCGAGGCGUGGUGCAGGAACUCCGCAAGACCCGUGAUGACCAUCAUUUGCAGCAACAUCGGGUGCAGCAGGAGCAUGUGGAACUGCAACAGCUCUACGGACAUCAGUCUUCAGAGAUGUCCAAGUACUGGGAAGGUGACACAAACUUUCCCCCUCUAAGUGGGCCAGUGAUCAUAGAGGCUUCUAGUGACUCUUUGACAGGUGUAGCAUCCUGGGCCACGAUAGUCAAGGGGUCCAUUCCUGCUGCCCCUGGGUUGUGCUCUAAGACAGAUGCAGUGGCACCUGUCCCUGAGCCAAUCGUACCUGUGCCUGUGUGGCCAACACUAGAGCGAGCGCAUGCAAAACCCAUUUCCGUGGUUUCUGCUCAGCAGCCUCCACGGAAAUGUCUUGCACGGGCCCCUUCAUUGGUUGGAGGUGUGUGGGUGAGCCAUAAGGCUUGCAAGAAAGCAACCCCUGCUGUGACACUGCACUCUACCAUUGGAGAGCUAAACCCAGCUGCUUGUUGCAGAACACCUCCAUAUGGCAACAAAAUGCAGCCAUCACAGACUGCACAAGCAGAGCAGUGCACUGUGGCAGUGAACAGGAGCCCGCAACAAGAGGCUGUAGGUCUAAGCAAGUGCAGUAGCAUGGCAGAGAUGUGCAGCUCUUUCGAGCCUUUCUUGGACACUCACAAAGAGGAUUAUGUUAGCCAUAAGCAGUGCUCGGUAGUGACAAGUGAACAAGCGUGGGUCAGUGUGGUAGGGCGUGCUACCAGAAAGCGCACAAUGAGGACGCGCUUGUCAUGCGCUCCUGCACUUGUUGGGAGCGUCAGUGUACUAUAUAAGGCUGAGAAGGCUACUGUGCUAGAGCCCUCUGCACUUCAUGAGCGCCGAUCAGCUACUGGGUGUAGAGAACUUGUGUCUUGCAGUGCACAACAGCCAUCGGGGAUUGCACCCUCAUUGCUGUUCUGUGCGGCAAACAGCAGUGAGAGUCUGCACUCAGGAGCUCAAGCAUUUGCAGAUGGCUAUGGAACUGUAGCAAACUCUUCUCUACAUUCAGCAUGUAGUGGACCGCAAGGUCAGAGCAACUGCCCAGUGGCAACACUUGGUAGUGUUGAGGAAACCACAAGCACUGUAUUGCGUAUGCCUGCUGGUGCCAGUGAUAGUUCUUGUGUCUGUGGGACACUUGACUGUUCUGUUGCAGCACCUUGUGCCUCAAUCGGUGCGACAGAACAACAGAUGAGCCCGCAUUCAGUUUCUGCAGCCUCAGCUGAGGGCCAUGAGGCAUUAGUGGCUAACUGCAGCAAAAAGACCAGAGGUGUUUAUGCAAAGAACAGCAUGGGUGCAAAAGUUUCUCAGAGCCACACAGGGCCUGUUACAGGAGGAGGAUGCCUUUCUGUAGGCAGCAGGUUUAGCAAUUACCAAGAAUUCGAUGCUGCUUAUGAGGCUUGGAAAAAUGAAGGGUGCCACCCCAUGCGCAUUUUAAGUUUGUUUGUUGCCAUGCAGAGCAACCUAUUCUUAGAUGCCAAAAUGCCCGACCAAAGCAGCACUACAAUGGGACAGAUUGCAAAGUCGAGCUGGAACUCGCUUUUUCGGUCUGUGCCACAGCCAUUUCAUGAAGUAGUAAGCCUUCAGGAAACACAUGAUCAUAAUACAGAUCCUCAAAUUUUUAUAUGGUAUUCACAAAAUCGUUCCCUCACUGCCUCCAAGUAAGAUCAGCUGAAUGAUCUGAUUUUCUGCAAUGCCAAAGGAUAUGAAUGAAAUCAUUCUCAGGAAAACUGGGAAACACAUCACCUCAUAUGAUGUCCAAAACCUGAGCACGCAUCACGGGGCAUUGCCCCUAGAAAAAAUAAAUCAGUUAUUUUCAGAAAAUUCGGGCUGAAAGGUUCAUGUAGAAAAAAGUGCCAAUAAUGACCUACUAUACGUCUUGCUACAGUCCAAACACAUGGCACAUCUAGCGGAAAAGUAUCCAGAAGUAUUGUUUUUUGAUGGCACCUAUAAGGUGAACAGAGAAGGAUAUGUCUUACAUUCAGUGCUAUGCAAGGAUGGAGCUAGCCAUGACCGCCCGAUAUGUUAUGCGUUUGUUCGAAGACAAACAAUUGAAAUUUUGAAGUCCUUCAUGAAAACGGACAUUUUUUGGGAGAAUGUUCGGUCACAAGCGCUUCUGAAUCCUCGGACGAUAAUGAAGCUGAUGAUAAUUUGA